GGGCGUCGAUGAUGUUCGCAUCUCUACCUACAUUGUUUGACCCUCAUGAGAACAGCACUGCCUGAGACGUCC